UGAAGAAAACACUUCCAACUGAUUGACAAAUAAUCUGAUUUAUUCACCAGCUGCGACCGGUUUCGCCAUAAAGUACAGCUUCUUCAGGCUACGAAAUUAUAGAAAAUUACAAAAUAAUUAAUAUAAAAUAACAUAAAGUGAAUUAAAUUUCCAAUUAAGUUUGAAUAUAAAAGUAUAUACAUAUGUAUAUGCACAUGCAUAUUCACAUGCUUAUUCACAUAAGUGUAAUUGUGUUCUUAAAUAAUCUGGUAAAAUUAAAGACUUUAGUAAGUUUUGUAACAGAAUUUCAAAAAUUAUCUGCUGAGUGACUUGUUAUAGUUUGUUUUUUAAAAAUGUUAAUAAGUUGUUUACAAGUUUCUUAAACUUUUUUUGGGCAAAUAUUUUUUUCAUAUGUUACGCCUCGAGUUGAGUACAAAUUGAUACUGUUAUCCAGUUUUAUGUUGCUGGCCAGUGUACCUUUUUAGUUGGGUAGUUUUUUUGUAAGAUAUAAUUAAAUUAAGGUUUGUUAAUAUUUGUUUAUAUUUUACAUUUUGACCUUUCUUUGCUUCACAUACAAUAAAAUCUAUAAAUAAUUUCUUAAAACCAUACAUAUUCUUGUAGAACGGCAUGACAAUAAACACUUUUUCAUGCAUCUCUUUUUCAUGUAAGUUGACAUUGGUAUAUUUACAUAACACAGUAGGAUUAUUAUGUUUUAAAUGCUUUAUCACAAGUUGAGUUUUUGGCUUAAGAAUAUCAUGUCUGCUUAUCUGAUUAAUUUUCAAUAAACAUUUAUGUAGUACAUUCAAAGGAUAACCCCGUUUUGAAAAUUUUCCGAAUAACAUAUCAAUUUGUUUCACAGCAUUUUCAGGAUCGGAACAUAUCUUUUUUAUACGUAAUGCUUGACAGUACGGAAGAGAUUCAAUGAGAGAUUUUGGGUGGUUUGAUUCGUAGUGCCAACCUUCGCUACCUCAAUGGCGAAUAUGGCGGAGAUUUUGCCAAGUGCUUCCAGUCCGUGGUUGACGACACGAACCAAAUCUGCAUCGAUUUCGAGGCCAUGUACCCGGACCUUUUGGAGAGAU